UACGUAGGGUGCGAGCGUUAAUCGGAAUUACUGGGCGUAAAGCGUGCGCAGGCGGCGUCGCAAGUCGAGUGUGAAAGCCCCGGGCUUAACCUGGGAAUUGCGCUCGAAACUACGGCGCUCGAGUGUGGCAGAGGAAGGUGGAAUUCCACGUGUAGCGGUGAAAUGCGUAGAUAUGUGGAGGAACACCGAUGGCGAAGGCAGCCUUCUGGGCCAACACUGACGCUCAUGCACGAAAGCGUGGGGAGCAAAC
rnacentral:rRNA from 1 species